AUACGGAGGGUGCAAGCGUUACUCGGAAUUACUGGGCGUAAAGGACGCGUAGGCGGUUUAGAAAGUCAGAUGUGAAAGCCUAUGGCUUAACCAUAGAACUGCAUUUGAAACUUCCAAACUAGAGUGGGGGAGAGGUCAGUGGAAUUAGUGGUGUAGGGGUAAAAUCCGUAGAGAUCACUAGGAAUACUCAUUGCGAAGGCGACUGACUGGAACUUACCUGACGCUGAGGCGUGAAAGCGUGGGUAGCAAACAGGAUUAGAAACCCGGGUAGUCC
rnacentral:rRNA from 1 species